UAAUAUACUCCUGCAGGACAAGUGCUCA
rnacentral:piRNA from 1 species